rnacentral:rRNA from 1 species
GACGAGUGGCGAACGGUGAGUAAUGCAUCGGAACGUACCUUUCAGUGGGGAUAACGUAGCGAAAGUUACGCUAAUACCGCAUAUUCUGUGAGCAGGAAAGCAGGGGAUCGCAAGACCUUGCGCUGAUUGAGCGGCCGAUGUCAGAUUAGCUAGUUGGUGAGGUAAAGGCUCACCAAGGCGACGAUCUGUAGCGGGUCUGAGAGGAUGAUCCGCCACACUGGAACUGAGACACGGUCCAGACUCCUACGGGAGGCAGCAGUGGGGAAUUUUGGACAAUGGGGCAACCCUGAUCCAGCCAUGCCGCGUGAGUGAAGAAGGCCUUCGGGUUGUAAAGCUCUUUCGGCCGGGAAGAAAUCGCAUGGGUUAAUACCCUGUGCGGAUGACGGUACCGGCAUAAGAAGCACCGGCUAACUACGUG